rfam:Felis catus isolate Cinnamon breed Abyssinian chromosome B4, whole genome shotgun sequence.
GCUUGGGUGGCUCAGUUGGUUAAGUGUCUGACUUCAGCUCAGGUCAUGAUCUCAGCGUUCGUGGGUUCAAGCCCUGCAUCAGGCU